UAAUUUUAUUUCUUAUAAAAUAUAUACAAUCUUGACGGCAAAUCUAAGUGCCAAUUUUUAAAAUACACCACGUUUCAAAAAAUCGAUCACCGUAUGAAAAUCUUUGCGCAGUACACAACAGUUCACCGGAAUUCAUACAAAAAAAUUCUACUUCAAAAGAUUGACAUAUUAACUGUUUUGUUUAAAUAAAAUACUUAUUUGUGUGUUUCCAUAUAAAUUUUAUUUUAAUAUUGGCAAAAGCCUAUUAUCUUCUUUUAUCGUCCGAUGCGUGAGAGUCGCCAAAGUAGAGCUAGAAGCAUCUGGACUAUAGGGAACUGGGAAUGAAUUUGAAAGAUGGUUCUUAAGCGGGAUUGGUUGUAGCUUAGAAUAACGUUGAUAAUGAGAUUCAUGAUUUAUUUGAUGCACUUUUUCUUCCAACUUCAGGAACAGCAAUUUUAGUAUUUCGGGGGAAUAAAUCAAAUAUAUUCAGAAAGGAAGACACGCGUUGAAAAAAUCCCAAAUCAUUCUGUUGAGAAGACAAAACGUUUUUAAUGAUAUCUAAAUCCUUCCGAGCAGUUUCAGUAAGCAGAAUUGUUACCAGGGAAGUUUUUGAUGUGUUAACUUCAGCUUGAACGUGUGCUUCUUUAUCUACUGUAUGGUCCGUGUAAUCCGAGGAUUCAAUAAAUGCUUUAAUUAAGUCAA